AAGCGUGCGUAGGCGGCUUUUAAGUCGGAUGUGAAAUCCCUGAGCUUAACUUAGGAAUUGCAUUCGAUACUGGAAAGCUAGAGUAUGGGAGAGGAUGGUAGAAUUCCAGGUGUAGCGGUGAAAUGCGUGGAGAUCUGGAGGAAUACCGAUGGCGAAGGCAGCCAUCUGGCCUAAUACUGACGCUGAGGUACGAAAGCAUGGGGAGCAAACAGGAUUAGAUACCCUGGUAGUCCAUGCCGUAAACGAUGUCUACUAGCCGUUGGGGCCUUUGAGGCUUUAGUGGCGCAGCUAACGCGAUAAGUAGACCGCCUGGGGAGUACGGUCGCAAGACUAAAACUCAAAUGAAUUGACGGGGGCCCGCACAAGCGGUGGAGCAUGUGGUUUAAUUCGAUGCAACGCGAAGAACCUUACCUGGCCUUGACAUACUAAGAACUUUCCAGAGAUGGAUUGGUGCCUUCGGGAACUUAGAUACAGGUGCUGCAUGGCUGUCGUCAGCUCGUGUCGUGAGAUGUUGGGUUAAGUCCCGCAACGAGCGCAACCCUUUUCCUUAUUUGCCAUCGGGUAAUGCCGGGAACUUUAAGGAUACUGCCAGUGACAAACUGGAGGAAGGCGGGGACGACGUCAAGUCAUCAUGGCCCUUACGGCCAGGGCUACACACGUGCUACAAUGGUCGGUACAAAGGGUUGCUACCUCGCGAGAGGAUGCUAAUCUCAAAAAGCCGAUCGUAGUCCGGAUCGCAGUCUGCAACUCGACUGCGUGAAGUCGGAAUCGCUAGUAAUCGCGGAUCA
rnacentral:rRNA from 1 species